GAAGGAAAGAGACCUGGCCCACGAGCACACGCAACUAGGUCCAAGUGUCCUGCAAAGGAAGAAACCAGACACACAGGCACGCGCGGCCAGAGACCAGAUGUCUUGCAAAGGGAGCGACUCAGCUAGCUUUGGGUACACUGGGCCAGCUCAAAACCGGCUAGCCGGUACGACCCAGGCACGCGAGAUAAAGGAUUUAGGGGCCAGGGCGGCGCAACCUUCGCCACAAACUCGGUCUCCCGCCCACCGCCGCUGCCUGCCACCAGGGGGCACUCCCCGACCCAAGCAACGGAGUGUCACAGCUCAAAUCAGACAGGCCUGCUGCUGGGCUCUUGCACCAGAGUUUUGAAACUGCCAGGUGACUCUGCUGGAGUUGGACAUGAACAUAAUCCAGUACUUGGAGGCAGAAUGAGGAAGGAAGAUCAAGAGUUCAAGGAGGUUUGAGAGUGGGGGCAGAAGAAGAGAGAA
rnacentral:lncRNA from 1 species